UACGAAGGGUGCAAGCGUUACUCGGAAUUACUGGGCGUAAAGCGUGCGUAGGUGGUGAGUUAAGUCUGAUGUGAAAUCCCGGGCUCAACCUGGGAAUGGCAUUGGAUACUGGCUCGCUAGAGUGCGGUAGAGGGUGGUGGAAUUCCCGGUGUAGCAGUGAAAUGCGUAGAGAUCGGGAGGAUUAUCUGAUGCUACGGCGGCCACCGGGAUCUACACUGACACUGAGGCACGAAAGCGUGGGGAGCAAACAGG
rnacentral:rRNA from 1 species